UUACGGGGCGCAGCAGUGAGGAAUAUUGCACAAUGGGGGGAACCCUGAUGCAGCAACGCCGCGUGGAGGAUGACGCAUUUCGGUGUGUAAACUCCUUUUAUAUGUCAAGAAAAUGACGGUAGCAUAUGAAUAAGCACCGGCUAACUCCGUGCCAGCAGCCGCGGUAAUACGGAGGGCGCAAGCGUUACUCGGAAUCACUGGGCGUAAAGGACGCGUAGGCGGGUUGGAAAGUCAGGUGUGAAAUCCUACAGCUUAACUGUAGAACUGCACUUGAAACUUCUAAUCUAGAGUAUGGGAGGGGGAGAUGGAAUUAGUGGUGUAGGGGUAAAAUCCGUAGAUAUCACUAGGAAUACCUAAAGCGAAGGCGAUCUCCUGGAACAUUACUGACGCUAAGGCGUGAAAGCGUGGGGAGCAAACAGGAUUAGAUACCCUUGUAGUC
rnacentral:rRNA from 1 species